UGCAAAGUGACAAUGAUGUAUUGCCUUGGAUUGAUUCAUUUACGAAAAGAAGCGGUCUUCUGAAAUCUCCAAGAUCUUUUAUUUGUUUGCUCAAGAGUAACCAAAGAAUGGGGAAUAUGCUACUUGACUUUCACAUCCUCAUCAAAUACGACCUUGAAUACUCACAUUGAUCAAUGUCUUCCUGGGGAGUCAUCAGCAGUCAAGUGG
rnacentral:lncRNA from 1 species